rnacentral:rRNA from 1 species
UACGUAGGGGGCAAGCGUUGUCCGGAAUCAUUGGGCGUAAAGCGCGUGUAGGCGGCUCGAUAAGUCCGCUCUGAAAGCCCGGGGCUCAACCCCGGGAGGCGGGCGGAAACUGUCGGGCUAGAGUCCGGAAGAGGCGAGUGGAAUUCCCGGUGUAGCGGUGAAAUGCGCAGAUAUCGGGAGGAACACCAAUGGCGAAGGCAGCUCGCUGGGACGUGACUGACGCUG